rnacentral:rRNA from 1 species
CUUGACUGUAUCUUGGAAUUGGGUUCGGGCUUUUCUUGCGCAGACUAGGUGGGAGGCUAUGAAGAUUUUCUUCCGGGGAAGUUGGAGCCAACAGUGAGAGACCGCUCUGGAGAGGCUAGAAUCCUAGUGGUGAUCCGUGAAUCCGGACACUUGACAGUUUCAGGUGGGCAGUUUUUCUGGGGCGGAAGCCUCAUAAAAGGUAACUGAGGCGCGCAAAGGUUCCCUCAGUCUGGACGGAAAUCAGACAUUGAGUGUAAAGGCAAAAGGGAGCUUGACUGCAAGACCUACAAGUCGAGCAGGAGCGAAAGCUGGCCUUAGUGAUCCGACGGUUCCGCGUGGAAGGGCCGUCGCUCAACGAAUAAAAGUUA